rnacentral:rRNA from 1 species
UACAGAGGUCCCAAGCGUUGUUCGGAUUCAUUGGGCGUAAAGGGUGCGUAGGCGGCGCGGUAAGUCGGGUGUGAAAUCUCGGAGCUUAACUCCGAAACUGCAUUCGAUACUGCCGUGCUUGAGGACUGGAGAGGAGACUGGAAUUUACGGUGUAGCGGUGAAAUGCGUAGAUAUCGUAAGGAAGACCAGUGGCGAAGGCGGGUCUCUAGACAGUUCCUGACGCUGAGGCACGAAGGCGUGGGGAGCAAACAGG